UAAACUCCUGUUAAGUGGGAAAAAAGAAUUGCUCUGAAUAGGAGCAAGAGAUGAUGGUACCACUAGAGAAAGCACCGGCUAACUUCGUGC
rnacentral:rRNA from 1 species